GGAUAAACAGACCACAGGGAGGCAGUGAGGCCAUGGACUUGAAUGCUGGCAGUGGCCUGAGAGGGAGGCCAGCUGUGGGGAGGGGAGAUGGGAGGUGAUAACCUUGGCAGCAGGGGUCUGAGGGCAGCAGGGGCCCAGGGGCAGCCUCUGGAUGUCAGCAGGAUCCAGGAAAGAUGCUUCCCAGGGGACAAGGGAGACUGAACCUGGACAGUCUUUGGUCUCUUUCCCCAGGCCUUUAUUUGACUUGACUCUGCCUUCUCAUUCAUAUGCAGAAGGGAAAGGCCUGGUCAGGUGGGCUACCCACUUCCUCCACCCAACCCUCUCUUCCUGCAGGCUCUCCCGACCCCGUGACUACGGCCCGAAUGCUUCUUUUCUUCAUACCCGGUCACCCUGAGAUUGGCAGAAGUGUCUAUGCCAUUCUUCCAAUCUCCUCCCCAGAACCCUGACCACCUCCUCCGGGGUCCAGGAGAUGUGGUGUGACAGGGUUCCUUCCUCAGCUGUGGCAGAGACCCUUGAUCAACCAAACCACUUGCUGUUCUGUGCUCUGGUUUCCUUCUUUGCCUGGAGGAAUGCUGGCCACUGUCCGGUCCCCCCACAUGGUCAGGGUCAGGCGACAAAAAGGAAAUCUAAGACAGAGCUGAGCUUUCCCUCCAGAGAGCUUUAAUCUCGAGGUGGAAGUGGGAUCCAGGCAAGAGGAGAACGAAGGAAACACAGAAGACGUACAAGCAGGUGAAAGGAGUGCCUAUGGGAGGAGCAGGAGGGGCCGGUGAGUCGGCUCACAGAGAGGACAGCCCUGCGGGGUAGUCUGGAAAAGUGCCAGGGACUGGUGUCCUGGAGCUGGGAAGGUGCCCUGGUUUGGAGGACGGGGGAGACAGUCUGUCCAGAUGGGCAGGCAGAGGUGAAUCGAAUCAGGCGUCAGGUGAGGUGGUGGGCAGGUCGGUGGGAGCGAAGAAGCGGGGGUGAGUGGGUGUUCUGGCAGGGUGUGGCACAGGAGGGUGUGACCCAGCAGGGCCUCUCCAUGCACUCAGCUGCUUCCCCCAGACCCAGAGGUCGUGACUCCCAGAUGAACCCAUAGGCCAGACUCUGGGCUUUGCAUGGUGGGUAGGAGGGUGGGGAUUAGAGCUGGGGGAGGGGAGUUCACUUGGAGGCUGAGGGUGGAAGUCUGGUGUAUUUCAGGCCCAAGAUCAUGCCAGCUCCAAAUUUGGGAAGGUGAGAUGUGGCCUUUGUGACACCUGUCAGGGAGACUGGGCCAGCCCUUGUCAGAGGGCAGCAGUGCAGGCCCAGUGGGCUCAGUGUUCUCUGCCACGUGGGAUGUGGUCAUGCCUCAGCUUCCCCCUCCACUCUCUCCAUCAGCUCUUAGUACCCGCAGAGCUACCCGGAUGACUCCACACAUCCAUGGAAUUGACUCACUUUUGUACCCACAGCACCGAAAGUGGGGCCUCAAGCACACUUAACACCAAGCGGCAUCUGAGUGAACGCACAGGGUAUUCGUGAAUCGUGCCAAGCGUGCCGGGGAAGUGGCCCCAGGAAGAAAGGCAGGAGGCCUGAACCUAUAAACCAGAGUCACGUAGCUCCAUGUCCCCUUCCAAGGCCCCUGCUGUGAUCCUGGGGGUCCUGUAUCUGAUGGAAGGGCUCCUCUCAGAAGCAUGUGGGGUUGGCGGGAAUCACGUCCCAAUUUGUCUGGCGGAACUCGCUGGUGGGAGAGCAGUGAGCUGGGUCACUCAGCGAUGGACCAGCUAAUCCAACUCCUUGUCUUGAAGAUGGAGAAACUGAGGCCCAAGGAUAUGAAGUGGCUUGUCCAAGGUCACACCACGAGAGUUUGGACGUCAAAACCUCCCAUUUGCUGACCCCCUGAAUGUCGUCCUGGGGUCGCAGGACAACGAGGAAGCCUCAAGAGGGUUUUGGUCCCUGGCUCUGAGCAAUGCCACCCACCUCCACCUCAACCCCCAACACAGUCCUACAGACUCAACAAGAAUACUUUUAUGCUCCCUGGGAGUUGUCUUGCAUCACAGUGAAUUAAGGAUCUGGCGUUGUCACUGCUGCUGUUAGGUCACUGUUGUGGUGCAGGUUUGAUCCCUGGCCUGGGAACUAAACAUGCCACAGGUGUGGACCCCCCCAAAAAAUAAAUUAAAAAACCCCCAAAUAAAACAAAGCAAAAAAGAAUAAUCUUAUGCGCCCUUCUCAUCUUAAACUUGUCAUUCACAAUUAAGUCCCAGAGAGAGAAGCGACUCCACAGGGCUGGGUCAGGUUAACCCUCCUGUGUGCCCUUCUACCUGGGCUCCUGCAUCCUGACCUUUCCCCUCCAACAUCUGGACACGGUCCCCUGCCCCACCCCCCCUCCAUCUAGGGGACACAGAACCAGGGCUGGCUGUGUCACACAUAUCCUAAGACUCCCCACCACCUUCCAUGGAAAGAAAACUAGAUCAAAGUGAGCCCCAGGGCACAUGUUCACCGGCAGGGCUCCUCAUCCUGGCCUCCUGAGGGCUAUACACUGCGGGUGCGUCUAAGCCCGCCAGGCCUUUGGGGUUCCAGUGCUGUGCGCAGCUGCCUCUGUUUUCACCGUCACCUUGGAUUCUACCACGCCACACAUCUCUAGGCCUCUGAUGGCCUCCUGCCUUCUCGCUCUGGUCCAUCCUGCCCACCACUCCAGAGCAGUCAUUUCUGAAGAGUGGCUUUUGUGUGUUACUUCCGCUGUGGCCAAUCUCUAACAGCUCUCCACGGCACCCGCCAAAGUCAUGCCUCUGCCGGGCUCUCGAGACCCUCCACAACCUUCUCCCACUUUCUCCUUUCAUUGCCAUCACCGGGGGCCUCCUUCUCACUUUUUUUU